rnacentral:lncRNA from 1 species
AGGGGAGCAAUUUCCGAACGCUGGAUAGUUGAGGGAGUCUCCAUACAUAUUUACCAAAAUAUUCAUCACCAGAUUGAGCAAAUUCAAUUUUAAAAUUUUGAUGCUACUAUUCAAAAUUUUGAUUUAUUUAGUUUGAAAUAAUUAAUAAUACUUUAACUUCAUAUUUAAGUUAAUUAUUUCUUUAACAAAUUCAUAGUUGUGAAAAUUGUAUAAAAUACGCUAAAUAAAUCAGUAAAAAUUAAUAACGUAUUUAAAUUUUAAAGUUAAAUUAUCAUUAACCGACUAAAAUUAAAUAAAUUAAAAAAUUAAAUGAUAAAAUUAAAAUUUUAAAAUAUUAAUAGUUAAUUUAAAAUGAUAUAUUAAAUAUGUUCUAUAGUUAAUUUAAAAUGUAUUGUGUGUUUGUAUUAGGGGUGUAAACGAGCCGGCUCAUGAGUUGGCCAACGAACAAUAAGUUAAAAAGAUUAUAUUGAAUAUAUAUAAAAACUAAAUUUAUAAAAUCUUAUUCAGUAGACUUUUAUCUAAUAGUCGAAUUUUUA